rnacentral:rRNA from 1 species
AAACUUUGAUGCAUAGACACAAUAAACAUCCGCCAGGGAACUACGAGCGUUAGCUUAAAACCCAAAGGACUUGGCGGUGCUUCAGACCCCCCUAGAGGAGCCUGUUCUAGAACCGAUAACCCCCGUUUAACCUCACCACUUCUAGCCCUUCCCCGCCUAUAUACCGCCGUCGUCAGCUUACCCUGUGAAGGCACCAUAGUAAGCAAAAUGGGUAAACCCCAAAACGUCAGGUCGAGGUGUAGCACACGAAGUGGAAAGAAAUGGGCUACAUUAUCUGAAACAGAUCACUAACGAACGGUCCCUUGAAACAAAUAGACCCAAAGGAGGAUUUAGCAGUAAAGAAGGAAUAGAGCGCCCU